rfam:Capsicum annuum cultivar Zunla-1 chromosome 8, whole genome shotgun sequence
UGAUAAUGGUGCAAGAAAUCAAGAAGCAUGGACUUGAACCUCUCCCAGGCUUGAUAUAGAUUUUCACCAUCCUUCUAUCUAAAGCUCAAGAACUCACUUCUUAAUUU